AACGCUGGCGGCGUGCCUAACACAUGCAAGUCGAGCGGGACAUACGACGGACAGGAAGUUUUCGGAUGGAAUGGAAGAUGUAUGUUCUAGCGGCGGACGGGUGAGUAACGCGUGAGCAACCUGUCCCUUACAGGGGGAUAACACAGCGAAAGCUGUACUAAUACCGCAUAAGACCACAGAGAGACAUCUCACAGGGGUCAAAGGAGCAAUCCGGUGAAGGGUGGGCUCGCGUCCGAUUAGAUAGUUGGUGAGGUAACGGCCCACCAAGUCGACGAUCGGUAGCCGACCUGAGAGGGUGAUCGGCCACAUUGGGACUGAGACACGGCCCAGACUCCUACGGGAGGCAGCAGUGGGGAAUAUUGCACAAUGGGCGCAAGCCUGAUGCAGCAACGCCGCGUGAGGGAUGACGGUUUUCGGAUUGUAAACCUCUGUCUUUGGUGACGAAGAAGUGACGGUAGCCAAGGAGGAAGCCACGGCUAACUACGUGCC
rnacentral:rRNA from 1 species